rnacentral:rRNA from 1 species
UGGGGAAUAUUGCACAAUGGGCGAAAGCCUGAUGCAGCAACGCCGCGUGAGUGAUGAAGGCCUUCGGGUUGUGAAAGCUCUGGUACUUUUGGGGACGAUAAUGGACGGUACCAAAGGAGGAAGCCACGGCUAACUACGUGCCAGUAGCCGCGGUAAUACGUAGGUGGCAAGCGUUGUCCGGAUUUACUGGGCGUAAAAGGAUGCGUAGGCGGAUUUUUAAGUGAGAUGUGAAAUACCCGGGCUUAACUUGGGUGCUGCAUUUCAAACUGGGAAUCUAGAGUGCGGGAGAGGAGAAUGGAAUUCCUAGUGUAGCAGUGAAAUGCGUAGAGAUUAGGAAGAACACCAGUGGCGAAAGGCGAUUCUCUGGACCGUAACUGACGCUGAGGCAUGAAAGCGUGGGUAGCAAAACAGGAUUAGAUACCCUGUAGUCCACGCCGUAAACGAUGAGUACUAGGUGUAGGAGGUAUCGACCCCUUCUGUGCCGCAGUUAACACAAAUAAGUACUCCGCCUGGGAAGUACGAUCGCAAGAUUAAAAA